rnacentral:rRNA from 1 species
CAGUCGCCGCGGUAAUACGUAGGUGGCAAGCGUUGUCCGGAAUUAUUGGGCGUAAAGGGCUCGCAGGCGGUUUCUUAAGUCUGAUGUGAAAGCCCCCGGCUCAACCGGGGAGGGUCAUUGGAAACUGGGAAACUUGAGUGCAGAAGAGGAGAGUGGGAUUCCACGUGUAGCGGUGAAAUGCGUAGAGAUGUGGAGGAACACCAGUGGCGAAGGCGACUCUCUGGUCUGUAACUGACGCUGAGGAGCGAAAGCGUGGGGAGCGAACAGGAUUAGAUACCCGAGUAGUCCCUGUCUCUUAUAA